rnacentral:rRNA from 1 species
UACGUAGGUGGCAAGCGUUGUCCGGAUUUACUGGGCGUAAAGAGCUCGUAGGCGGCUUGUCGCGUCGGCUGUGAAAACCCGCGGCUCAACUGUGGGCGGGCAGCUGAUACGGGCAGGCUGGAGUUCGGUAGGGGAGACUGGAAUUCCUGGUGUAGCGGUGAAAUGCGCAGAUAUCAGGAGGAACACCGGUGGCGAAAGCGGCUUACUGGAUCUCUUCUGACGCUGAGGCACGAAAGCUAGGGUAGCGAACGGG